rnacentral:rRNA from 1 species
AACGAACGCUGGCGGCAGGCCUAAUACAUGCAAGUCGAACGGGCGUAGCAAUACGUCAGUGGCGGACGGGUGAGUAACACGUGGGAACAUGCCUUUCGGUUCGGAAUAACGCAGGGAAACUUGCGCUAAUACCGGAUGACCCGGCGACGGAAAAGAUUUAUCGCCGAAAGAUUGGCCCGCGUAGGAUUAGCUAGUUGGUGAGGUAACGGCCCACCAAGGCGACGAUCCUUAGCUGGUUUGAGAGAACGAUCAGCCACACUGGGACUGAGACACGGCCCAGACUCCUACGGGAGGCAGCAGUAGGGAAUCUUGGACAAUGGGGGAAACCCUGAUCCAGCCAUGCCGCGUGAGUGAAGAAGGCCUU